CCCAAGUGCCACUCUUAACGGGAUGGCUUUUCAUUAGUGUAAAGAGCUUUUGGAAUAAGGGCUGGGCAAGACCGGUGCCAGCCGCCGCGGUAACACCGGCAGCUCUAGUGGUAGCAGUUUUUAUUGGGCCUAAAGCGUUCGUAGCCGGUUUGAUAAGUCU
rnacentral:rRNA from 1 species